AAUCAUUCCCUUUGAUUGGUUACCUUUGUUAAGUUAUUACUUGGUUGGUAGUCGGUAAUCAUUCCCUUUGAUUGGUUACCUUUGUUAAGCUAUCACUUGGCUGGUAGUUGGUAAGCAUUCCUUUUGGUUGGUUACCUUUGUUAAGUUAUCACUUGGCUGCUAGUUGGUAAUCAUUUCCUUUGGCUUAUUACCUUUGUUAAGCUAUCACUCAGCUGGUAGUUAGGUAAUAUUAUUCUCCUAUUGGAGUCAGAGUUUUUCCCUGUUG
rnacentral:lncRNA from 1 species